rnacentral:rRNA from 1 species
CUACGGGCCGCACCAGUGGGGAAUUUUGCGCAAUGGGGGAAACCCUGACGCAGCAAUACCGCGUGAGUGAAGAAGGCCUUUGGGUCGUAAAGCUCUUUUCUUGGGGAAGAUAGUGACGGUACCCAAGGAAUAAGCACCGGCUAACUCCGUGCCAGCAGCCGUGGUAAUACGGAGGGUGCAAGCGUUGUUCGGAUUUACUGGGCGUAAAGGGCACGUAGGCGGCACAGCAAGUUAAGGGUGAAAUCCCGGGGCUCAACUCCGGAACUGCUCUUAAAACUGCUGAGCUAGAGAUAGGCAGAGGCGGGUGGAAUUCCAGGUGUAGAGGUGAAAUUCGUAGAUAUCUGGAGGAACACCGGUGGCGAAGGCGGCCCGCUGGGGCUAUUCUGACGCUAAGGUGCGAAAGCGUGGGGAGCAAACGGGAUUAGAUACCCCCGUAGUC